rnacentral:rRNA from 1 species
UGAUCCUGGCUCAGAACGAACGCUGGCGGCAGGCUUAACACAUGCAAGUCGAGCGCCCCGCAAGGGGAGCGGCAGACGGGUGAGUAACGCGUGGGAAUYUACCCUUUUYUACGGAAUAACGCAGGGAAACUUGUGCUAAUACCGUAUAAGCCCUUCGGGGGAAAGAUUUAUCGGGAAAGGAUGAGCCCGCGUUGGAUUAGCUAGUUGGUGGGGUAAAGGCCUACCAAGGCGACGAUCCAUAGCUGGUYUGAGAGGAUGAUCAGCCACAUUGGGACUGAGACACGGCCCAAACUCCUACGGGAGGCAGCAGUGGGGAAUAUUGGACAAUGGGCGCAAGCCUGAUCCAGCCAUGCCGCGUGAGUGAUGAAGGCCCUAGGGUUGUAAAGCUCU